UACGGAGGGUGCAAGCGUUAUCCGGAUCCACUGGGUUUAAAGGGUGCGUAGGUGGGCAGGUAAGUCAGUGGUGAAAUCUCCGAGCUUAACUCGGAAACUGCCGUUGAUACUAUUUGUCUUGAAUAUUGUGGAGGUAAGCGGAAUAUGUCAUGUAGCGGUGAAAUGCUUAGAUAUGACAUAGAACACCAAUUGCGAAGGCAGCUUACUACACAACGAUUGACGCUGAGGCACGAAAGCGUGGGGAUCAAACAGG
rnacentral:rRNA from 1 species